GCCGAGGAGUUCCGAAAUGAUAAAAAGCGAUGGGCGUUCAGAUUUUGAUUGAAAAUGACUCUUAAUUUAGUUGCUACUACAGCAAUUAAAAAAGCUGUUGUCCUGAUCAAUGAUUUGGAUACCUCCAAAUUUCCUUUGUUGUUAACAAGGAUUCUAUCAAAGUUACAUCUAAAGGAUGAGCGCACAUUUUCAGAAGAGGAGGAGGAGAAGCUCCAGUCUUCUCUGUCCCUGACUGAUGGGGACUUAGAACUAGUGAUCCAUACUCUGGAGUUUAUCUUACAUCAGGCAGCGUACCACACAGCCAAACCAGGGUUACUGGGGCAGCAGCUACAGCAGAUAGAGCUAGAAGAGGAGAAGGUGAGAGACAGACAGACAAACAUGCAGACAUUACUAUAUAUCCAUAUUUGUUUGUGUGUCACAAAAUUUGUGAAUGUGGUUAAAAUCUGUAAUACUUUUCAAUUUUUUUGUCAGUCUUUUUUGCGAAUUGAGUCCAGCAGUACCCAGUAAAGUGCACAUAGUUAUAGCCAUCAUGAAACAGAAAGUUCAUAAAUUUAGCGUUUAUAAACCAGAUAGUAACUUUGUUACUCCAACCUGCAGGUAAAAGUGAUUGUGGACGCCUGGAAGAACGCAGCAGCAGAUGUUGUGACCAAACUCCGACAGAGGACCAUCACUCCGAAGCGUCUGGAGGAGAUCAACUGGAGACUUAAUCUCCAGAUGGCCCAGUCCAACAAAAGCAAGAUGAAGCUUCCCAACGCCAUGUUUGAACUCAAAAUCAAUGAUGAAGACUCAGAGGCUAAAGAAAAAAUCCGCUUUGAGAUGACACAUGAUGAACUCUACUCAUUUUACAACCAGUUGGAAACUAUACAAAAACAGCUGGACAAUUUAGGAUGAAAACAUCGGCAUACAAGAAACAAAAGAAAAGAAUAAGAGCGGGUAUCUUCAUUCCAUGAUGUUCAACUCAGUCAUGAGUGAUUCAAUCAUUCACUAACUUAAUUAAUGCAGCACAUCAAAUAUGUUAUAUGUAUAUUGUUAUUUUGUAAUGAAAUUUAAGCAACAUU
rnacentral:misc_RNA from 1 species